rnacentral:misc_RNA from 1 species
UAUAUUUAAUUCAACUUUUGUUAUUCUAAACAGAUUCAUAGGUUUGUGAAAAAGGUACAUAGACCUGGAAAGGAUUUCAAGGAAAAGCAACAGCAGUAGCAGUUCCAACUCGAUAACAAAAUCAACAAUAAAAAAUCUCCAGGUCUACAAUAUGUGCACAGUUGGAGAAAUAAAGAUGACAAGCGUGCACAUACCCCUAAGGGCCAGCAACAGCCUGUUCAAGUUUAUUCGAUAAUGAUCCUUCCGCAGGUUCACCUACGGAAA